rnacentral:misc_RNA from 1 species
CAUCCAUCCGCCUGUGCUUGCACAGUCGCAUUGGGCUGACACCUCUGCCUACUGGGCGGAGGUGCAGCCUUAAGAUCUUCUGUGCGGAGUUUGCUAGGACCCAACUCUUGGACCUUACAGUCUGGGUUGACCUGUAGGCAAGGCCGCACGGAUAGGGUGCCAGGGCUCUCUGAUGUGCCUGGUGCACCGACCAAAUUUACCUU